UACGUAGGCAGCAAGCGUUGUUCGGAGUUACUGGGCGUAAAGGGUGUGUAGGCGGUUAGUUAAGUCUGGCGUGAAAGCUCUCGGCUAAACCGGGAGAGGUCGUUGGAUACUGGCUGACUAGAGGACGGUAGAGGCGUGUGGAAUUCCGGGUGUAGUGGUGAAAUGCGUAGAGAUCCGGAGGAACACCAGUGGCGAAGGCGGAUCUCUGGACAGUUCCUGACGCUGAGGCGCGAAGGCCAGGGGAGCAAACGGG
rnacentral:rRNA from 1 species